GUGAUCUGCCCUGCACUCUGGGAUAAGCCUGGGAAACUGGGUCUAAUACCGGAUAUGACCAACUGUCGCAUGGUGGUUGGUGGAAAGCUUUUGCGGUGUGGGAUGGGCCCGCGGCCUAUCAGCUUGUUGGUGGGGUAAUGGCCUACCAAGGCGACGACGGGUAGCCGACCUGAGAGGGUGAUCGGCCACACUGGGACUGAGACACGGCCCAGACUCCUACGGGAGGCAGCAGUGGGGAAUAUUGCACAAUGGGCGCAAGCCUGAUGCAGCGACGCCGCGUGAGGGAUGACGGCCUUCGGGUUGUAAACCUCUUUCACCAGGGACGAAGCGUGAGUGACGGUACCUGGAGAAGAAGCACCGGCCAACUACGUGCCAGCAGCCGCGGUAAUACGUAGGGUGCGAGCGUUGUCCGGAAUUACUGGGCGUAAAGAGCUCGUAGGCGGUUUGUCGCGUCGUCUGUGAAAUUCUGCAACUCAAUUGCAGGCGUGCAGGCGAUACGGGCAGACUUGAGUACUACAGGGGAGACUGGAAUUCCUGGUGUAGCGGUGAAAUGCGCAGAUAUCAGGAGGAACACCGGUGGCGAAGGCGGGUCUCUGGGUAGUAACUGACGCUGAGGAGCGAAAGCGUGGGUAGCGAACAGGAUUAGAUACCCUGGUAGUCCACGCCGUAAACGGUGGGUACUAGGUGUGGGUUCCUUUUCACGGGAUCCGU
rnacentral:rRNA from 1 species